AGAGUUUGAUCAUGGCUCAGAUUGAACGCUGGCGGCAUGCCUUACACAUGCAAGUCGAACGGUAACGCGGGGCAACCUGGCGACGAGUGGCGAACGGGUGAGUAAUGCAUCGGAACGUGCCCAGUAGUGGGGGAUAGCUCAGCGAAAGCCGGAUUAAUACCGCAUACGACCUAAGGGUGAAAGCGGGGGACCGUAAGGCCUCGCGCUAUUGGAGCGGCCGAUGUCAGAUUAGGUUGUUGGUGGGGUAAAAGCCUACCAAGCCGACGAUCUGUAGCUGGUCUGAGAGGACGACCAGCCACACUGGGACUGAGACACGGCCCAGACUCCUACGGGAGGCAGCAGUGGGGAAUUUUGGACAAUGGGCGCAAGCCUGAUCCAGCCAUGCCGCGUGCGGGAAGAAGGCCUUCGGGUUGUAAACCGCUUUUGUCAGGGAAGAAACGCUCUGGGUUAAUACCCUGGGGUAAUGACGGUACCUAAGAAUAA
rnacentral:rRNA from 1 species